GACGAACGCUGGCGGCGUGCCUAAUACAUGCAAGUAGAACGCUGAAGGAGGAGCUUGCUUCUCUGGAUGAGUUGCGAACGGGUGAGUAACGCGUAGGUAACCUGCCUGGUAGCGGGGGAUAACUAUUGGAAACGAUAGCUAAUACCGCAUAAUAGUAGAUGUUGCAUGACAUUUGCUUAAAAGGUGCAAUUGCAUCACUACCAGAUGGACCUGCGUUGUAUUAGCUAGUUGGUGGGGUAACGGCUCACCAAGGCGACGAUACAUAGCCGACCUGAGAGGGGGUAGGCCCACCGAGGGAGUGAGACGCGACCCAGGGUCCGAGGGGAGGCAGAGGUUGGGAAUGGACGGAAAAGGGGGGAAUUUUGACCAACCAGCGCCGGGUGGGUGAAGAAGGUUUGCGGGCCGGAAAGCUGUUUUGUAGGGGAAAAACGGUUUUAGGAGGGAAAAGGCCACAUGUGAAGGUUACUUAACAAGAAGGGGCGGCUAAAUACGUG
rnacentral:rRNA from 1 species